CCUACGGGAGGCAGCAGUAAGGAAUAUUGGUCAAUGGAGGCAACUCUGAACCAGCCAUGCCGCGUGCAGGAUGACGGCCCUAUGGGUUGUAAACUGCUUUUGUACCAGAGAAAACCUACUCACGUGUGAGUAGCUGAUAGUAUGGUAAGAAUAAGCAUCGGCUAACUUCGUGCCAGCAGCCGCGGUAAGACGAAGGAUGCAAGCGUUAUCCGGAUUCAUUGGGUUUAAAGGGUGCGUAGGCGGACUUGUAAGUCAGUGGUGAAAUCUCUUCGCUUAACGAAGAAACUGCCAUUGAUACUGCAGGUCUAGAGUAUAGAUGACGUUGGCGGAAUAUGACAUGUAGUGGUGAAAUACUUAGAUAUGUCAUAGAACACCGAUUGCGAAGGCAGCUAACGAAACUAUAACUGACGCUGAGGCACGAAAGUGCGGGGAUCAAACAGGAUUAGAUACCCUGGUAGUCCGCACCGUAAACGAUGAUUACUCGUUGUUGGCGAUAUGACAGUCAGCGACCAAGCGAAAGCGAUAAGAAUCCACCUGGGGAGUACGCCGGCAACGGUGAAACUCAAAGGAAUUGACGGCGNGAGAGNGCGAGGCGACGACGAGGGAGGAGG
rnacentral:rRNA from 1 species